rnacentral:rRNA from 1 species
UACGAAGGGGGCUAGCGUUGCUCGGAAUCACUGGGCGUAAAGGGUGCGUAGGCGGGUUAUUAAGUCCGAGGUGAAAUCCUGGAGCUCAACUCCAGAACUGCCUUUGAUACUGAUAGUCUUGAGUAUGGGAGAGGUGAGUGGAACUGCGAGUGUAGAGGUGAAAUUCGUAGAUAUUCGCAAGAACACCAGUGGCGAAGGCGGCUCACUGGCCCAUUACUGACGCUGAGGCACGAAAGCGUGGGGAGCAAACAGG